rnacentral:lncRNA from 1 species
GCAGCCUGUGGUCACCACACAUACGGCAAAAGGGACAGCAGGUGGAAGGGAUUGAGGUGGAGGCACGGAUGCGCUAGAGGUAGGCACAUCAUUUCGAGCUUGAUCAUCCUCUCUAGUUGAUCUUGACCUUGGAACUACUUCAAUCGGUGUGCAAGCUACUUUCUUAGAUCCAUUCAUGCUCAGAAUGAUAAGAAUCAAGG